CGGAGGGAAACCGAGUCUUAACCGGGCGUUAAGUUGCAGGGUAUAGACCCGAAACCCGGUGAUCUAGCCAUGGGCAGGUUGAAGGUUGGGUAACACUAACUGGAGGACCGAACCGACUAAUGUUGAAAAAUUAGCGGAUGACCUGUGGCUGGGGGUGAAAGGCCAAUCAAACCGGGAGAUAGCUGGUUCUCCCCGAAAGCUAUUUAGGUAGCGCCUCGUGAAUUCAUCUCCGGGGGUAGAGCACUGUUUCGGCUAGGGGGCCAUCCCGGCUUACCAACCCGAUGCAAACUGCGAAUACCGGAGAAUGUUAUCACGGGAGACACACGGCGGGUGCUAACGUCCGUCGUGAAGAGGGAAACAACCCAGACCGCCAGCUAAGGUCCCAAAGUCAUGGUUAAGUGGGAAACGAUGUGGGAAGGCCCAGACAGCCAGGAUGUUGGCUUAGAAGCAGCCAUCAUUUAAAGAAAGCGUAAUAGCUCACUGGUCGAGUCGGCCUGCGCGGAAGAUGUAACGGGGCUAAACCAUGCACCGAAGCUGCGGCAGCGACGCUGAUGCGUUGUUGGGUAGGGGAGCGUUCUGUAAGCCUGCGAAGGUGGCCUGUGAGGGUUGCUGGAGGUAUCAGAAGUGCGAAUGCUGACAUAAGUAACGAUAAAGCGGGUGAAAAGCCCGCUCGCCGGAAGACCAAGGGUUCCUGUCCAACGUUAAUCGGGGCAGGGUGAGUCGACCCCUAAGGCGAGGCCGAAAGGCGUAGUCGAUGGGAAACGGGUUAAUAUUCCCGUACUUGGUGUUACUGCGAAGGGGGGACGGAGAAGGCUAUGUUGGCCGGGCGACGGUUGUCCCGGUUUAAGCGUGUAGGUGUGUGUUCCAGGUAAAUCCGGUUCACUUUAACACUGAGGCGUGACGACGAGGCACUACGGUGCUGAAGCAACAAAUGCCCUGCUUCCAGGAAAAGCCUCUAAGCAUCAGGUAACAUCAAAUCGUACCCCAAACCGACACAGGUGGUCAGGUAGAGAAUACCAAGGCGCUUGAGAGAACUCGGGUGAAGGAACUAGGCAAAAUGGUGCCGUAACUUCGGGAGAAGGCACGCUGACAUGUAGGUGAAGUGAUUUACUCAUGGAGCUGAAGUCAGUCGAAGAUACCAGCUGGCUGCAACUGUUUAUUAAAAACACAGCACUGUGCAAACACGAAAGUGGACGUAUACGGUGUGACGCCUGCCCGGUGCCGGAAGGUUAAUUGAUGGGGUCAGCGCAAGCGAAGCUCCUGAUCGAAGCCCCGGUAAACGGCGGCCGUAACUAUAACGGUCCUAAGGUAGCGAAAUUCCUUGUCGGGUAAGUUCCGACCUGCACGAAUGGCGUAAUGAUGGCCAGGCUGUCUCCACCCGAGACUCAGUGAAAUUGAACUCGCUGUGAAGAUGCAGUGUACCCGCGGCAAGACGGAAAGACCCCGUGAACCUUUACUAUAGCUUGACACUGAACAUUGAGCCUUGAUGUGUAGGAUAGGUGGGAGGCUUUGAAGUGUGGACGCCAGUCUGCAUGGAGCCGACCUUGAAAUACCACCCUUUAAUGUUUGAUGUUCUAACGUGGACCCGUGAUCCGGGUUGCGGACAGUGUCUGGUGGGUAGUUUGACUGGGGCGGUCUCCUCCUAAAGAGUAACGGAGGAGCACGAAGGUUGGCUAAUCCUGGUCGGACAUCAGGAGGUUAGUGCAAUGGCAUAAGCCAGCUUGACUGCGAGCGUGACGGCGCGAGCAGGUGCGAAAGCAGGUCAUAGUGAUCCGGUGGUUCUGAAUGGAAGGGCCAUCGCUCAACGGAUAAAAGGUACUCCGGGGAUAACAGGCUGAUACCGCCCAAGAGUUCAUAUCGACGGCGGUGUUUGGCACCUCGAUGUCGGCUCAUCACAUCCUGGGGCUGAAGUAGGUCCCAAGGGUAUGGCUGUUCGCCAUUUAAAGUGGUACGCGAGCUGGGUUUAGAACGUCGUGAGACAGUUCGGUCCCUAUCUGCCGUGGGCGCUGGAGAACUGAGGGGGGCUGCUCCUAGUACGAGAGGACCGGAGUGGACGCAUCACUGGUGUUCGGGUUGUCAUGCCAAUGGCACUGCCCGGUAGCUAAAUGCGGAAGAGAUAAGUGCUGAAAGCAUCUAAGCACGAAACUUGCCCCGAGAUGAGUUCUCCCUGAGACUUUAGGUCUCCUGAAGGAACGUUGAAGACGACGACGUUGAUAGGCC
rnacentral:rRNA from 1 species